GCACAAUCCGCGGCCAACAGACAGAAGUUAAGUAAGCAUAUUUAUAUCUUUUCGGUCAAUGCCGUCAGUUCGUUGAAUAACCGGAAGCUUGCUUUGUUUACAAACGCUGAAGGUCAGAUUAAAAAACAACACGAAAAGCGUAAACAACUGGGGAAUAUCCAAAAGUCCUUGGAAAAUCAAGCUGCAGUAUUAAAUAUCAUCAUGGAUUUAAUGGAAAUAUUGGUCUAGGAGCUGUAUAGUAUAACGAAUAGGGAUGGAAUUUGGAACACAACUGGCUGGGUGGGGAAGAAUUUCGACGAAAAUACUGGCAUAUUACGUAAGGUUGAGUUGAUGUCUUGUGUUAAUAAACUAAAACAACAACCAACUAAAUGUGCUGUCGCCAGUAAAAUCUACCAUACGAUAGUGAGGAACCGAUGAAAAGUGGAGGAAAUACGUAUCUAUACUAUAGCUACUACGGCAAGGCCAAGCAACCAAGGGUGCCAGCUAUGGUGAAAACCAGUAAUUGGGUGUCUAUAUAAGCAGAAUCCUGACAUUUAUGCGGCGUAUGAAGCACUGCCACCAGGAAAAAGACUGGUUGAGAAACGCUGCCACCGUAAUAGUCGGAGUAAGAACCGCUGUCACUGGAUUAGGCGGACGUAAACAUUGCUAAUUUACUUCUUGUUACAAAGUUCUACAAAGAAUGAUUCACUGUACUUUUGUGGUUAAUGAACUUUCGAACUUUGCUUCAAAUGCCUUCGCGAUACAACUAUUCUGAAACUAUUCAUAAAUGGAACUGAUGAAAUAUGCGUUUUGCAUAAAUAAUGGACGGUAAUAAGUUAGAGAUAGAGUUACUUCAAACAAUUGUGUUUUGUUUCACGCGAAAGCACAUUCGUUCAAAUCAAUAUCCCUGCAUCACUUCAUUUAAGGGGACGCAUACUUUGAAAUUAGAAAAAAGUGGGUGGGGUAUUAUAAAAUUUACCUGCAAAAAAGUACAAGGUUUUGGUAAAUGAAAUGAAUACUGUUUCAACUGUUAUAAGUACACAAAGGAUUGCUCACUAAAAUAAAAAUGAGAAAAACUGAAAUAAGAAAGUUAUUGUUGAAUUACAUAAGACUUCUUGUGUACAUUCAAAGUCAACAAUUAAGACUUUUUGGUGCGAAAAUAAUAGUGCUUCACUUUGUCCAAACAUUUAUCAAUGUCCUACAGAUUCUAAUUUAAAGAAAGAAUGUGAAAUAAG